AACGAACGCUUGCGGCAUGCCUAAUACAUGCAAGUCGAACGAUCACUUCGGUGGUAGUGGCGCACGGGUGCGUAACGCGUGGGAAUCUGCCCUUGGGUUCGGAAUAACGUCGGGAAACUGACGCUAAUACCGGAUGAUGACGUAAGUCCAAAGAUUUAUCGCCCAGGGAUGAGCCCGCGUAGGAUUAGCUAGUUGGUGGGGUAAAGGCCUACCAAGGCGACGAUCAUUAGCUGGUCUGAGAGGAUGAUCAGCCACACUGGGACUGAGACACGGCCCCGACUCCUACGGGAGGCAGCAGUAGGGAAUAUUGGACAAUGGGGGCAACCCUGAUCCAGCAAUGCAGCGUGAGUGAUGAAGGCCUUAGGGUUGUAAAGCUCUUUUACCCGGGAUGAUAAUGACAGUACCGGGAGAAUAAGCCCCGGCUAACUCCGUGCCAGCCGCCGCAGUAA
rnacentral:rRNA from 1 species